rnacentral:lncRNA from 1 species
UAUGUAGCAAUUGCUCAAGAGAGAAGGAAACAGUAUUUCCGAGCAGCCUCUGGCGCAGAGCUGAUGGUGUGUUUGCCAUGCAAGGAGCGGUAUCCCAAAGGGCUGCAUUGCUCCCCUGACACAGCUGUUCCUGCCCGUCCUGGCUUCUGGGUGGAACAGCACCACCUUCCAGCUAGAGAGAAGGAGAUCUCCCUACAGGCUGGUCACAAGAGGGGGUGCCAGAGGCUGUCACCUUCUGAGGAGAAGCAGCUGUCCCAACAAUUGUUCUACCCUGGCUUCUGCAAUGAGGUCUGGAACCACUGAGGAAGGUGAGAAGUGACAGGCGAGUGAACUAUUGUUUUUGAGUCCUCCUUGUUCAAUGACUGUGAAGAGGGAAUGAGGAUAGUUUCCUCUUCUACCCUUGAAGCUUCUGUUAGCCCUUUUUCUCACAUGUCCUCCAGAGGCCUCUAGGGAUGUGUAGGUAGGUGGCUGCAUGUGGUUUUUAUUCAUAGAUACACUGAUGGGA